GGGUGACCUGGCUGUGAUAUCUGUCACCCACUGAGUGCCAGGGUGGAUUUAGCUGGUCUAGCUGCCCGGGCUAAUGUCCUCUUUUCCUUCCCUACAGAAGCUUGGACUUGGUGGAAGAAGACGAGUUUCUCUGCUAAAGGAGGUCUAUCUUUAGUCAAAGGUGUGUGAACAGCUGCCCAUCCCUUCUGGGCCUUCAAAGGAGCUCGCAAGAUGACGUGUCUCUAGAGCUAGCCCAUAGCACUUAGGGGUCCUUGCAGAAGAAGGUCUACUAAAG
rnacentral:snRNA from 1 species